rnacentral:rRNA from 1 species
GACGAACGCUGGCGGCGUGCCUAAUACAUGCAAGUAGAACGCAGUUGCGAACGGGUGAGUAACGCGUAGGUAACUGCCUGGUAGCGGGGGGUAACUAUUGGAAACGAUAGCUAAUACCUAAUACUACCAGUUGGACCUGCGUUGUAUUAGCUAGUUGGUGGGGUAACGGCUCACCAAGGCAACGUUACCUAGCCGACCUGAGAGGGUGAUAGGCCAAACUGGGACUGAGAAACGGCCCAGACUCCUAAGGGAGGGAGCAGUAGGGAAUCUUCGGCAAUGGACGGAAGUCUGACCGAGCAAAGCCGCGUGAGUGAAGAAGGUUUUCGGAUCGUAAAGCUCUGUUGGAAGAGAAGCGGUAUCUUACCAGAAAGGGACGGCUAACUACGUGCCAGCAGCCGCGGUAAUAC